UUAAUUACUGGAAGAAAACCUUUAGAUAAUGGAGGGGACACUAUUAUUAAUUGGGCUAAGGAUCGGAUUGGACAAGCAUUGGAAAAUAAUGAAUAUACUGAUCUUGUUGAUUCCAGAUUACGAGAGUACAAUGAGGAGGAAAUGAUAAGAAUGAUUUGUUGUGCUGCAGCUUCAGUAUAUAAACCUUCUCGCUCUCGACCAAUAAUGAAACAGAUAAUUAGAGUUCUUGAAGGAACUAUACCUCAUGUGAAGAUAAUGAAUUGGAAAGACAUCGAAACUCUUCAAGGAAGGCCUACUACUAAUCUAGAAUCUGUACUUAGCGUUGAGAG
rnacentral:misc_RNA from 1 species